rnacentral:lncRNA from 10 species
CUGGGACUUGGAGUCCAGUCCCUGGGGGUCCCGCGGGGAUGGCUCUGGGCACCCGAAGCCCCUCCCCAGCGCCGAGACAGGAGGGCUGGGGUAGAUUCGAGACCCCGGUUUGCAGAGCGCAAGACUGAGGCCCAGGGCCGCGCAGUCAGGCAGGAAACGGCGCUCCUGGCGGAUGGAACAGCACGGGCAAAGGCUGGGUAUGGGGGUAUGUGGGGAUGGAAGUGCCCAGAGGGGCAGCGCGAUGGGGUUGGGGGCGGGACCCCGCAGGGCCUCCAGUAAGGGGCUAGUUGGGGGAUCUGGUCAGCCAGUGGCCAAGGCCGGUGGUCAGUGAGAAGUUGAUGCGGAGCGGGGGGGCGGUUUCAGAUCAGUCUGAGGGUGGAGAAUAGGAAAAGUGACCCGGCCGGGCGUGGUGGCUCAUACCAGUAAUCCCAGCACUUUGGGAGGCCGAGGCUGGCAGAUCACCUGAGAUCAGGAGUUCGAGACCAGCCUGGUCCAACAUGGUGAAACCCCGUCUCUACUAAAAACACAAAAAUUAGCCGGGCGUUGUGGCACAUGCCUGUAGUCCCAGCUACUCAGGAGGCUCAGGCAGGAGAAUCACAAGAACCCAGGAGGCGGAGGUUGCAGAGAGCUGAGAUCGUGCACUUCAGCCUGGGCUACAGAGCAAGACUCUGUCUCAAAAAAAAAAAAAAGUGACCCCAUUUCCCACCCAAACCUCAAUCAUCCUUCUCCCCUCUGGCCCCGCCUCCUGUAGUAUUAUUUAUUUCCCAUUGUGCUUUACCAUCUGUCUUUAUAUUUUAUAUUCCUCCCUUUAUGAGGAAGGAAAACAGUAUCAGUCCUCUAAAUACGCAGUCACUGCUUAGCUCCCUCUUGCCUGGCUGGUUUAUUUGUUGUUUGUUUUGAGAAAGAGUCUUGCAGCUGGGCACGGUGUCUCACGCCUGUAAUCCCAGCACUUUGCAGGGCCGAGGUGGGCGGAUCAUUUGAGGUCAGGAGUUCAAGACCAGCCUGGCCAACAUGGUGAAACCCCGUCUCUAGCAAAAAUUAGCUGGGCCGUAGUGGCGCACGCCUGUAAUCCCAGCUACUCGGGAGGCUGAGGCAGGAGAAUCACUUGACCCUGGGAGGUGGAGGUUGUAGUAAGCCGAGAUCAAGCCACUGCACUGCAAUCUGGGUGACAGGGUGAGACCCUGUCCC